GAUGAACGCUGGCGGCGUGCCUAAUACAUGCAAGUCGAGCGAACAGACGAGGAGCUUGCUCCUCUGACGUUAGCGGCGGACGGGUGAGUAACACGUGGAUAACCUACCUAUAAGACUGGGAUAACUUCGGGAAACCGGAGCUAAUACCGGAUAAUAUAUUGAACCGCAUGGUUCAAUAGUGAAAGACGGUUUUGCUGUCACUUAUAGAUGGAUCCGCGCCGCAUUAGCUAGUUGGUAAGGUAACGGCUUACCAAGGCAACGAUGCGUAGCCGUCCUGAGAGGGUGAUCGGCCACACUGGAACUGAGACACGGUCCAGACUACUACGGGAGGCAGCGGUAGGGAAUCUUCCGCAAUGGGCGAAAGCGUGACGGAGCAACGCCGCGUGAGUGAUGAAGGUCUUCGGAUCGUAAAACUCUGUUAUUAGGGAAGAACAAAUGUGUAAGUAACUAUGCACGUCUUGACGGUACCUAAUCAGAAAGCCACGGCUAACUACGUG
rnacentral:rRNA from 1 species